UGACCUCGGAUCAAACGUGAAUACCCGCUGAAUUUAAGCAU
rnacentral:rRNA from 1 species